rnacentral:rRNA from 1 species
CUGGCUCAGGAUGAACGCUAGCGACAGGCUUAACACAUGCAAGUCGAGGGGCAGCAUAAAAGUAGCAAUACUUGGUGGCGACCGGCGCACGGUGAGUAACGCGUAUGCAACCUACCUAUCGAGAGGGGGAGUAACCCGGCGAAAGUCGGACUAAUACCGCAUAAAACAGGGGCACCGCAUGGUGAUAUUUGUUAAAGAUUAAUUGCUGAUAGAUGGGCAUGCGUUCCAUUAGGUAGUUGGUGAGGUAACGGCUCACCAAGCCGACGAUGGAUAGGGGAACUGAGAGGUUGGUCCCCCACACUGGUACUGAGACACGGACCAGACUCCUACGGGAGGCAGCAGUGAGGAAUAUUGGUCAAUGGGCGAGAGCCUGAACCAGCCAAGUCGCGUGAAAGGAAGAAGGAUCUAUGGUUCGUAAACUUCUUUUGCAGGGGAAUAAAGUGGAGGACGUGUCCUCUUUUGUAUGUACCCUGAGAAUAAGGAUCGGCUAACUCCGUGCCAGCAGCAGC